CAGCAGCCACGGUAAUACGAAGGGGGCUAGCGUUGUUCGGAUUUACUGGGCGUAAAGGGCGCGUAGGCGGACUGAUAAGUCAGGGGUGAAAUCCCAAGGCUCAACCUUGGAACUGCCUUUGAUACUGUUUGUCUUGAGUUCGAGAGAGGUAAGUGGAACUGCGAGUGUAGAGGUGAAAUUCGUAGAUAUUCGCAAGAACACCAGUGGCGAAGGCGGCUUACUGGCUCGAAACUGACGCUGAGGCGCGAAAGCGUGGGGAGCAAACAGGAUUAGAUACCCGCGUAGUCCCUGUCUCUUAUAC
rnacentral:rRNA from 1 species